AGUCGAACGGAGCCGGGUGCUUGCACCUGGUGGCGAGUGGCGAACGGGUGAGUAAUAUAUCGGAACGUACCUUAUCGUGGGGGAUAACGCAGCGAAAGCUGCGCUAAUACCGCAUACGCCCUGAGGGGGAAAGCGGGGGACCGUAAGGCCUCGCGCGAUUAGAGCGGCCGAUAUCUGAUUAGCUUGUUGGUGGGGUAAAAGCCCACCAAGGCGACGAUCAGUAGCUGGUCUGAGAGGACGAUCAGCCACACUGGGACUGAGACACGGCCCAGACUCCUACGGGAGGCAGCAGUGGGGAAUUUUGGACAAUGGGGGCAACCCUGAUCCAGCAAUGCCGCGUGAGUGAAGAAGGCCUUCGGGUUGUAAAGCUCUUUUGUCAGGGAAGAAACAGCAGCUCUAACACAGUCUGCGAAUGACGGUACCUGAAGAAUAAGCACCGGCUAACUACGUGCCAGCAGCCGCGGUAAUACGUAGGGUGCAAGCGUUAAUCGGAAUUACUGGGCGUAAAGCGUGCGCAGGCGGUUAUACAAGACAGGCGUGAAAUCCCCGGGCUUAACCUGGGAAUGGCGUCUGUGAAUGUAUGACUAGAGGGUGUCAAAGGGGGGUAGAAUUCCCCGUGUACCAGUGAAAUGCGCUAAAUUUUGGAGGAAAACCAAUGGGGAAGGGCGGCCCCCUGGGAUAACACUGACGCUCCUGCCCAAAAGCGGGGGGAGCAAACAGGAUUAAAUACCCCGGGAGGCCCCCCCCCAAACAAUGCCGACUAAUUGUUGGGGAAUUUUCUUCUCCGUAACCUAACUAAACCCUGA
rnacentral:rRNA from 1 species